rnacentral:rRNA from 1 species
CAGUCGCCGCGUUAAUCCGUAGGGUGCGAGCGUUAAUCGGAUUUACUGGGCGUAAAGCGUGCGCAGGCGGCCCGUUAAGACAGGUGUGAAAUCCCUGGGCUCAACCUAGGAAUUGCGCUUGUGACUGGCGGGCUCGAGUACGGUAGAGGGGGGUGGAAUUCCUGGUGUAGCAGUGAAAUGCGUAGAGAUCAGGAGGAACACCGAUGGCAAAGGCAGCCCCCUGGGCCUGUACUGACGCUCAUGCACGAAAGCGUGGGGAGCAAACAGGAUUAGAUACCCCUGUAGUCCCUGUCUCUUAUAC